rnacentral:rRNA from 1 species
UGAGCAAUCUGCCCUUCUCUUUGGAAUAAGCGUUGGAAACGACGUCUAAUGCCGAAUACGACCUCCUUUCGCAUGAUCGGAGGUGGAAAGCUCCGGCGGAGAAGGAUGG